rnacentral:pre_miRNA from 1 species
UGGUUGAAUUUGCUUCUGGUCCAUGUAGACACCGCUUCAUGACUAGAUCAAACUCAUCCACC